AUACGGAGGGUGCGAGCGUUAAUCGGAAUUACUGGGCGUAAAGCGUGCGUAGGCGGAUUAUUAAGCAAGAUGUGAAAGCCCAGGGCUCAACCUUGGAACUGCAUUUUGAACUGGUAGUCUAGAGUACUGUAGAGGGUGGUGGAAUUUCCAGUGUAGCGGUGAAAUGCGUAGAGAUUGGAAGGAACAUCAGUGGCGAAGGCGGCCACCUGGACAGAUCCUGACGCUGAGGCACGAAAGCGUGGGGAGCGAACAGGAUUAGAUACCCUAGUAGUCC
rnacentral:rRNA from 1 species